UGCUGGCAUAAAUAUAAACCUGCUGUUUUUUGAAUAAAGUCAAAUUAUAGAUAAAACAAUCCAAUAUAAGUAUGGGAAAUUCAUUAGUUGUACCCACAACAAAAUAAAAUAUUACUAAAAUUCAAAAAUUAUCACCAGAAAAGGUUAUCAGUAAUUUCAUUCAAAAAUUUGUGUUUCCCAUAUUCUCUUCCUCUAGCAAUUUCUCAAUGGCUUCCUUUUCCCCUGUCCGUUGUCAUGAAGUGCUAUCGAUUCAGGUCUAGUCCAUCUGUGCAUUCUCUCUCCCUAGACUCUGCUUCUCUCCAUGUCUCCCUUUUUCUCCCAUCAAAGUCCUUUAGGUUAAUGAGUAGAGUGACUGAUGAGCUGCAGAUGGAGCGAAGGAGGUGGGGGGGGGGGGGUGGGGGGGUUGUGGGUGGGUGUGAACUGUCAGUUACCCAAGAUGGGACUUAAGGGAGGGGUGGUCGUAAUUGAUCGGAUUUUGCUGUAAUGUAUUACCACCUCCAUGCACGGAUAAUGGCUAACUCUGGCUAAUGACUGUUGGCAACGACCAGCACUUCAUUGAUAGCUGAUGUUUGCCAUUAACUUCCCUUCUCAUUACAGACUAUAGACUAGUUUUCCAUAAGUCUUAGGCAGUUGGUUAUUAAUGUGGAAAAACUAUUUCAAUCAAGGGUCAUUCACAUCUUAAUUGUGCUUUAGAAUUCAAUAUGCAGAUCCAUUGUGGCAAAACCUUGGAUUCUGAUCAGGUGAGAUGUUACAUCAUCAGAUCAAACAGAACUAUUGUUUUUAAUGACUUUUUGAAGUUCGCUCCGCUCCACCCUGGGCGCUUCUCCCCAAGUCGCAGGGCUUUUCUCUCGGAUGCCUUCGACAGCUCUCAAUAUGCACAUCCAGCCUCGUGAAACGUACUUAUGAAUUCAAAACAGCCUCAAGUCAUGCUCCAUAUUUCAUUGAAGUUGAAUAUUUAAAAAGAUCAACCCACUCAAAACCCCAUAAACCUUUCUUACGGAGGCUUCUCUGUCCUAAAAAUAAAAUCUCAUAUGCCGUAUCAUAUUACAGGCGGCUCCAUCAGGCUCUUGAGCUUUCUUUAACAAGCAGACAGGGCCAUUCUGGUAAACAGGCUGUCUGCGUCUACAAAACGUAUGUUCCUCUCCCGGUCUCCUCUCUAGUCGAACACACUUCCUUAGCCUGCCCUCCACUGAGGCCUCAUGUUCCAUCGGACUAUGAAAUGAAAAAAUCAGGCCACAAAUUUAAAGGCCAGAUCCCUCUCUACAGAUAUGCUGAACUAAUCAGCUGCUCCCUGAAAGAGCGUCAAACAGCAGCAGCAGGCACAAAACGCAAUGGAGUGGAGAGAGAGAGAAGGACAGAUAUAAGGGUCAAAAAAAUCCAAACACAUUCCGGCUUACUCACAGUGUGUAGCCGGUGAAAGCACCAGGCCGAAAACCAAGCAGCAUCCAUCACUCCUGUCUGUCUGUUCCCCUCAGCCACACACACACCUGGCUAAGCAACAUCUGCAUAAACACAUCUGCUGCUACCAGGAACGCUUUCUUCCUGAGCCUGUAUCUGUAUCAGAGCUUGCACAGAUGGGUUAGUCAUACUUGCACAAAAUGCUGUGAAAUAUUGUGACUAUAGUCAUGGCACUGCAUGCAAGCCCUUUAGCUUUGACUAUAAUACGUAUUUAUGGGGAGGUAUUAUUAUUAUUGUGGUUUUCUAACAAAAAUAGUAAAAAAAAUAUAUACAGUAUAUUAAUAAAAUGUAUUAUAUACAGUGGGUACGGAAAGUAUUCAGACCCCCUUAAAAUUUUCACUCUUUGUUAUAUUGCAGCCAUUUGCUAAAAUCAUUUAAGUUAAUUUUUUUCCCCUCAUUAAUGUACACACAGCACCCCAUAUUGACAGAAAAACACAAUUGUUGACAUUUUUGCAGAUUUAUUAAAAAAGAAAAACUGAAAUAUCACAUGGUCCUAAGUAUUCAGACCCUUUGCUGUGGCACUCAUAUGUUUAACAGGUGCUGUCCAUUUCUUCUGACCAUCCUUGAGAUGGUUCUACACCUUCAUUUGAGUCCAGCUGUGUUUGAUUAUACUGAGUGGACUUGAUUAGGAAAGCCACACACCUGUCUAUAUAAGACCUUACAGCUCACAGUGCAUGUCAGAGCAAAUGAGAAUCAUGAGGUCAAAGGAUGUUGGAAGACAUUUGGGACGACCAGAACCCUUCCUAGAGCUGGCAGUCCAGCCAAACUGAGCUAUCGGGGGAGAAGAGCCUUGGUGAGAGAGGUUAAGAAGAACCCAAAGAUCACUGUGGCUGAGC
ensembl:lncRNA